rnacentral:misc_RNA from 1 species
GAAAUGCGAUAAGUAGUGUGAAUUGCAGAAUUCAGUGAAUCAUCGAAUCUUUGAACGCACAUUGCGCCCCUUGGUAUUCCAUGGGGCAUGCCUGUUCGAGCGUCAUUUGUACCCUCAAGCUCUGCUUGGUGUUGGGUGUUUGUCCCGUAUUUCUCGCGUGGACUCGCCUUAAAGCAAUUGGCAGCCGGCAUAAUGGCCUGGGAGCGCAGCACAUUUUGCGCUUCUGGUCAUGCUUGUUGGCAUCCAGCAAGUCUACAUUUUAGCUCUUGACCUCGGAUCAGGUAGGGAUACCCGCUGAACUUAA